AUAUUUGCUAUUUUUUAUUUUAUUUGGUAGCCUUGUGGUACUAACCAACAGUUAUGAACCGCUUGAUACUGAUCAUUACUUAGACGCACAACGAUCUUGCUUCUAUCGAUUUAAGCCUCCGUUUAACUUAAGCACUAAAUAUUUACUAAUGAACUUUCCAAAAGAUGAGAGUAGCGAUUGUUACAUACAAUGUUUACUGGAAAUAUGGAAUUUUUAUAAUCCAACCCAUGGCUUAUCCGUAAUAGAAGUUACAAAACAAACUUCCCACUUGUUUCCGAAAGUCUUUAAUGAAAUAAGAAAAUCACUUGAAUUAUGUAUGAAAAAAUUUCCGGAAGAAGGCGACAAAUACAGAUCUUGUACCUGGAUUGGAAAUGUCUUUAAAUGUUUUCUUAAGGACUACAGGAAAGUAUUUUACCUAAGCUUUAAUAUACAGGAACUGCCUUGUAUUCAAGCGUAAGAGACUGUUGGAACUCUAUACACGUUCAAGUUAAGAAAUGUAUGUCUUAAAGAAAUUUAA